GCUCAAAUGAAUCUCCAUUUUCAGUUUCAUCUCUUCAAGUAUAUUUUCUUUGCUUCCUGUGUUUUCCAGAGGCAUGUGUUUUAUCUCUGUUUAUGUACAGUGACAUCAUCUAUCUGCCUGCAUAACAGAACUUUCCCUGUCAUGUUUUGUGCUUUGACCUCUCGAUGCUUUCACCUCCUCUGCCAAAUUGUUUCUGCAUCAAGAGAGAGGAGCAAAACCACUGUGGGGGGAAAACAGCAGUUAAGGCUCUUCGGUGAACAAGACUGCAGGCUUAGUCCCAAACGUGGAUCUGCCAUGGAGCAGGGAAUUAGGAAAUCAGCCAGUCAAGGACGGCUUGGUUCUGACCUAACCCCUGAGAAUCAACCAGGUGGAGCCUGUGAUGGAUGUAUUCCUGCCCUUCUGCACCAGCUGAGCUCAUUUUGCUGUGCUGAAUUCAUGACAAGACAAGAAAGAUGACGUGAAACUAGUGAGGUCAAUAUGCCUUCUGCUGCAACUUCUGUUUGGGGUGCUGCAUGAAGAGGCUGAGCCUCCUGGACAGCACAGCUCCUGGGCUCCCACCCUCUCUGCACCUUCACAUCUGGUGUCACUCAGUGUGGAAAGGACUGGGCACUGCAUCACCACUUGGUGAGCUCCAGGGAGACCAGAGGCUGGGGGGAACCCUUAGGCGUGUCUCUCACUUCUGCAUAGCAGCUGAUGGGGCUGUGGCUUGGGAAAUGUGCCGGUACUCACUUUAAUUAUUAAGAUAAAGCAGAGGCACAGAGAUGGUUUACUUGGACUGCGGUGCUCUGGAUGCAAUUUUCUGUCUUACGUUCCACUUCUCAGAUUAUAAACUUGUACAGCACAGAGGAUUUCUGUGUAGAAGUAUCAGAAGAGUCUCAGCUUUCACCACUCCUGCAAAAUUUAAUAUUAAAUAAAAAUGCCAUUGUAGAGUCCAUUUUUUUUUUUUUAAGUGCAAAACAAUCUCUGCUCAUCUACUCAUACCUACUGCCAAUAGUACCUGCAAUAGUAGUUGUGGGUUUAUCUUACCAGGGAGCUGCUUGUCAGUGAAGGACAGCCAGGAGCUGGGUGUAAGCAAGGUGUGGGACAGGGCCCCCACUGCAUGGUGUUGCAUGGGCACCAUUCUGCAGUGGCUGAGCAAGGAAAGGGCAGGGCUGUUGAGGAACUGCCUGAUGGUCCCCAGGUAGGUCUCUUGUGAUGCAACAGGUCUGAGGUCACAUUGGGGCGCACAGGGUUAGGCUCAAGGUAGGACUGAGGGCAACAACUGUAGCUUAAAUACAUGAGAAAAGCAGGUGUAGGAGGCCCUAAUGUGGCUCUGUGCAUCUCUGCCACACAUCAUUUGUUCCAACAACCUGAAUGAGGCUUAUGCUGCUGCCCCAUAGCAAAGAUAGGAUUGAGAACAGUCAGCCAAAAUCUUGGAUAGGAAGCAGACGCUGCAGAGCCUGGGGGUGUGCAUGGAGCACAAACACAACCAUCCUGCAGGAUGGUAAGGCUACAUUUUCUGUAGGACACUGCUGAGUGGGAAACACAGUCUUCGUCAAGAGGAUCAAUAUGUACCUGGGGCUCAGUGUCAAUCAGGAUUUCAGCGACUGUAUGCCACUACUUUGUUAUUAAGUGUUUUGCAGGAUAAAGUUGAUAUGGUAACAAGAGUAUCAUCCUUAUUUUAAAAAAUGAUUUUAAAAUUUCCACAACUCAAAAAUAGAUAGCCUGCAUGAAAAUAAUGCUUUGUAGAAAGACACAGUAUAUUUCUAUCCUACUCUGGGGAGGUUUCUGAGCAUUAUUAUCAUAUUGUGAUGCUAUGCUACGAUUAAUCACCCCUUUUAGUGAUGCAGCAAUAAACUUAAAGGUUUAGAUUUUCAUCUUGUGUAAAUCAAUAUGGGUUUAUUGACUUCAGUGGAACUCUGCCAGGUGAAUAUCUGGCCCCAGACAUCAAACUGAGCUUGUACAGAGAUGUUUAAUAAAGCAAGAGAUCUGUGUUUUCACAGUAGAUAAAUGACUUUACAGGAGAUGCUGAAGUCUCUUGUGGCACCCCUCUUCCAAGAAGUUUUAUUUUAAUCAUUCUCAUAAAGUCUCUUAGUUGCAACAAUAAUGCUAAGUGCCUGACACAAAGCGAAGGAAAUCUGCUUUCCAGAUAACUACUAGAAUGAAAUUUCAUUCUUUAGUCGUUGUUUUAAUUUACUUGUUCCCCUAGGAUUUUUAUUCUGUUAUUUCCUCCCUUUUACUAGCACUAGGGCUAAUGCUCAAAC
ensembl:lncRNA